rnacentral:rRNA from 1 species
UAUUUGGGCUCGCCGAACUGCUCAGUAACACGUANNNNNNUGCCCUCAAGCGGGGGAUAAUCUUGGAAAUCUGAGGNNAAUACCCCAUAGCUGUUGGAUGCUGGAAUGCUUCAACAGUCAAAGCUCCGGCACUUGAGGAUUGGGCUGCGGCCUAUCAUGGCUGUUGUGAGUGUAAAGUACUCACAAACCUUUAACGGGUAGGGGUCAUGAGAGUGGGAGCCUCGAGAUGCCUUCUGAGACAUGAAGGCAGGUCCUACGGGACGCAGCAGGCGCGAAAACUUUCCAAUGGUUUAACGACUGAGAAGGGAAUUCUGAGUGCAUGCAUUUUAUGCAUGCUUUUAUCCAGCCCAAAAAGCUGGGUAAAUAAGUGGUGGGUAAGACGGGUGGCAGCCGCCGCGGUAAUACCCGCGCCACAAAUGGUAAUCACGCUUAUUGGGUCUAAAGGGUCCGUAGCCGGCCUUUAAAGUUCCUGGUGAAAUCCGCUAGCAAACUAGCGGGCUUGCCGGGAAUACUUUUGGGCUUGGGAUCGGGAUAGGGCAGGGGUAUUCUUUGGGAAGGGGUU